GCAAUCUACCUUUCACAGAGGGAUAGCCCAGAGAAAUUUGGAUUAAUACCUCUUAGUAUAUAUGGAUGGCAUCAUUUAUAUAUUAAAGUCACAACGGUGAAAGAUGAGCAUGCGUCCCAUUAGCUAGAUGGUAAGGUAACGGCUUACCAUGGCAACGAUGGGUAGGGGUCCUGAGAGGGAGAUCCCCCACACUGGUACUGAGACACGGACCAGACUCCUACGGGAGGCAGCAGUGAGGAAUAUUGGUCAAUGGGCGCAAGCCUGAACCAGCCAUGCCGCGUGCAGGAUGACGGUCCUAUGGAUUGUAAACUGCUUUUGUACGAGAAGAAACAACAUUACGUGUAAUGUCUUGACGGUAUCGUAAGAAUAAGGAUCGGCUAACUCCGUGCCAGCAGCCGCGGUAAUACGGAGGAUCCAAGCGUUAUCCGGAAUCAUUGGGUUUAAAGGGUCCGUAGGCGGUUUGGUAAGUCAGUGGUGAAAGCCCAUCGCUCAACGGUGGAACGGCCAUUGAUACUGCCAGACUUGAAUAAUUAGGAAGUAACUAGAAUAUGUAGUGUAGCGGUGAAAUGCUUAGAGAUUACAUGGAAUACCAAUUGCGAAGGCAGGUUACUACUAAUUGAUUGACGCUGAUGGACGAAAGCGUGGGUAGCGAACAGGAUUAGAUACCCUGGUAGUCCACGCCGUAAACGGUGGAUACUAGCUGUUGGAAGCAAUUUCAGUGGCUAAGCGAAAGUGGUAAGUAUCCCACCUGGGGAGUACGUUCGCAAGAAUGAAACUCAAAGGAAUUGACGGGGGCCCGCACAAGCGGCGGAGCAUGUGGUUUAAUUCGAUG
rnacentral:rRNA from 1 species